UCACUUCUGGUGUCAGCAGUGAACUUCAAACCUCGCGUCCGGUGGCACUGGAGGAGGUU
rnacentral:tRNA from 13 species